rnacentral:rRNA from 1 species
AGCGAACGCUGGCGGCAGGCCUAACACAUGCAAGUCGAACGGUAACAGGUCUUCGGAUGCUGACGAGUGGCGAACGGGUGAGUAAUACAUCGGAACGUGCCCGAUCGUGGGGGAUAACGGAGCGAAAGCUUUGCUAAUACCGCAUACGAUCUACGGAUGAAAGCAGGGGACCGCAAGGCCUUGCGCGGACGGAGCGGCCGAUGGCAGAUUAGGUAGUUGGUGGGAUAAAAGCUUACCAAGCCGACGAUCUGUAGCUGGUCUGAGAGGACGACCAGCCACACUGGGACUGAGACACGGCCCAGACUCCUACGGGAGGCAGCAGUGGGGAAUUUUGGACAAUGGGCGAAAGCCUGAUCCAGCCAUGCCGCGUGCAGGAUGAAGGCCUUCGGGUUGUAAACUGCUUUUGUACGGAACGAAAAGGCUCUUUCUAAUAAAGAGGGUCCAUGACGGUACCGUAAGAAUAAGCACCGGCUAACUACGUGCCAGCCGCCGCGGUAACAC